CAGUAGCCGCGGUAAUACGUAGGUGGCAAGCGUUGUCCGGAGUUAUUGGGCGUAAAGGGCUCGCAGGCGGUUUCUUAAGUCUGACGUGAAAGCCCCCGGCUCAACCGGGGAGGGUCAUUGGAAACUGGGAAACUUGAGUGCAGAAGAGGAGAGUAGAAUUCCACGUGUAGCGGUGAAAUGCGUAGAGAUGUGGAGGAACACCAGUGGCGAAGGCGACUCUCUGGUCUGUAACUGACGCUGAGGAGCGAAAGCGUGGGGAGCGAACAGGAUUAGAUACCCCCGUAGUCCCUGUCUCUUAUAC
rnacentral:rRNA from 1 species